rnacentral:rRNA from 1 species
AGUGAACGCUGGCGGCAGGCCUAACACAUGCAAGUCGAACGGCAGCACAGUAAGAGCUUGCUCUUACGGGUGGCGAGUGGCGGACGGGUGAGGAAUACAUCGGAAUCUACUUUUUCGUGGGGGAUAACGUAGGGACACUUACGAUAAUACCGCAUACGACCUACGGGUGAAAGCAGGGGAUCUUCGGACCUUGCGCGAUUGAAUGAGGCGAUGUCGGAUUAGCUAGUUGGCGGGGUAAAGGCCCACCAAGGCGACGAUCCGUAGCUGGUCUGAGAGGAUGAUCAGCCACACUGGAACUGAGACACGGUCCAGACUCCUACGGGAGGCAGCAGUGGGGAAUAUUGGACAAUGGGCGCAAGCCUGAUCCAGCCAUGCCGCGUGUGUGAAGAAGGCCUUCGGGUUGUAAAGCCCUUUUGUUGGGAAAGAAAAGCAGCAGGUUAAUACCCCGCUGUUCUGACGGUACCCAAAGAAUAAGCACCGGCUAACUUCGUG